GACGAACGCUGGCGGCGUGCUUAACACAUGCAAGUCGAACGGAAAGGCCCUGCUUUUGUGGGGUGCUCGAGUGGCGAACGGGUGAGUAACACGUGAGUAACCUGCCCUUGACUUUGGGAUAACUUCAGGAAACUGGGGCUAAUACCGGAUAGGAGCUCCUGCUGCAUGGUGGGGGUUGGAAAGUUUCGGCGGGUGGGGAUGGACUCGCGGCUUAUCGGCUUGUUGGUGGGGUAGUGGCUUACCAAGGCUUUGACGGGUAGCCGGCCUGAGAGCGUGACCGGCCACAUUGGGACUGAGAUACGGCCCAGACUCCUACGUGAGGCAGCAGUGGGGAAUAUUGCCCAAUGGGCGGAAGCCUGAUGCAGCAACGCCGCGUGCGUGAUGACGUCCUUCGGGUUGUAAACCGCUUUCACCUGUGACGAAGCGUGAGUGACGGUACUGGGUAAAGAAGCACCGGCUAACUACGUG
rnacentral:rRNA from 1 species